CAUUAGUGAUUUUUUGAAUCAUUUAUUACCUUGGCCAAUGGCACAAAACCACACUUGUGCUUGAAGAAUUUAUUAAAAAAAUAAAAUUGGAAAGCCAAGAAAAUAUAAUUAAAAAAAUAUGACAUUAAAUUGAAUAAAACGACAAUUAGAAAUUUGUAACCUCAUCGCCAAUAUUUUCACCACUUCAAACCAUUUCCCU
rnacentral:lncRNA from 1 species